GUAUUCAGAAUUCAGCUGUUCCUUUUAUAACAGUGGACAAGAUAGUCUUUUUUUGUUAGGGGCCCCUUGGUGUUGUCCUGAAUCCUAGCAUUGAUGAUAAUACUUGUUAUGCACAGUUAGCCAUUGUACAUCCUUGAUGUUUCUGUGUACCAUGUUCUCCUGAUUCUGCUCACUUGACUUUGCAUCACUUUAUAUCAGUCUUUACAGGGUUUUUUGUGAUCAUCUCGUUUGUCAUUUCUUAUGGCACAAUAGUAUUCUAUUACAAUCACUCUGAGGUCAUAAUUGCUGCCCCUACUUUAUUAACUUUGGCUUUAACAUAGUAGGUUCUGUUCCAGCCCUUUGCCCUUUCCCUGUCAGUAUCUCCCUGCUUUAAAUCUGUUUCUUUUAAACAAGUGAAAAUAUGUUUUAGUGUAACUCCCACCAUUUUUCCUUAGGUUUGCUUUUUGAGAUCAAACAAAGCAAAUCCAACAUUUCUUCCAAGUGAGAAAUCUUCAAAUGUUUCAAGCCAACUGUCAUAUUUUGGCACCUCCUCAAGCUCUUUUCCACCUUCCCAGUCUUCUCCACAGUAGAUAUUUCCAAUUCCUUCAACUGAAUAGAGCUUCCUCAAGUCAAGGAAAGAAGUACAGGGCUGAGUUGGGUCUCUACACAGAGCUGCCUGCCACAUGUCUAUGCAGAGUCUGAGGAUUGAACUUUGGUAGCUCUGGUCAGGAACCCCUGGGAAAGCCAACCACACUAGAUUGGACAAUUCCAAGGAGACAUUAAAAUUGGGAAGCUUAACUACAUUUCUGGGGAAACAUGGGGACUAAGGAGGAGAGGGAUGGUUGAUUGAUUUUAAAAUGGCAACAAAGGAAAAUGAGGAGUCCCAGACAAGAAUAACAAUGAGGACUGAUGCUUUACAAUGAACCCAAAAGGGAAAGGUCCAGCCAAGGGCUAGGCCACCUAGGUAAAGGACUUUGACCCAAGUGGAGAAACCAUUGGAAAAAAAGAGAUGCUUAACAUCUAAUGGGAUUAGCUAUUUACAAACUACCUUAAAAGUCUAUUGUUAAUUUGAGAUCAGUGAAGUUGAACUUUCCCUCAGGGAGGAACUCUUAUGUGACCAGGUCAAACCUGAGGCUUUCACUUUUAAGCUAAGUAAACUGGGGUUCAUUAAAUCUUUCUAGGCUACAAGUUUGGGGGCUUCUAGAUUCCAUGUCAACAAUAAUGUUUGGUAAAACCAAAGAUCCCAGCUUUUGGGACAAGAACUCACUAUUUGAAAAAAAUUACUGAGAGAAUUGGAAAACAGUAUGGGAGAAAUUAGGCUUAGAUCAACAUCUUACAUACACCCUAUACCAAGAUCAACUCAGAGUGAGGUAAACCAUAAACAAAUAAGGUGAAUAUAGAAUAGUAUACCUGUCAGAUCUCUGGCAAAGGAAGACAUUUAAGACCAAGCAGGAAAUAGAGAACACUACAAAAUGUAAAAUGAAUAAUUUUGAUUACAUUAAAUUUAAAAAUUUCUGUACAAACAACACCAAUGCAACCAAAAUUAGAAGGAAAGCAACAAAUUGGGGAAAAGAUUUUAUAAUAAAAAACUUUCACAAAGAUCUCA
rnacentral:lncRNA from 1 species